AUGGAGUGGAGCUGGAUCACUCUCUUUCUCAUGUCACUAACUAUAGGUGUCCACUCCCAGGUACAGCUGCAGCAGUCUGGGCCUGAGCUUGUGAGUCCUGGGACCUCAGUGAAAUUGUCCUGCAGGGCCUCUGAACUUAUGAGUUAUCAUAAUAUUCACUGUAAAUAUUAUGUAAAGCAGAGUCCUGGCCAGGGCCUGGAGUGGAUUGCGAGGAUUUACCCUGCAGGUGGUAGUACUAACUACAAUCAGAAAUUCAGGGGCAAGGCCGCACUGACUGCAGACACAUCCUCCAACACAGCCUACAUGGAGCUCAGAAGCCUGACUUUGGAAGACUCUUCGAUUUAUUACUGUGCAAGACACAGUGUUGCAACCACAUCCUGA